rnacentral:rRNA from 1 species
AUCUGGUUGAUCCUGCCAGUAGUCAUAUGGCAUCUCAAGACUAAGCCAUGCAUGUCUAAGUAUAAGCAAUUAUAUACAGUGGUGAAACUGCGAACGGCUCAUUAAAUCAGUUAUCGUUUAUUUGAUAGUUUUCCUGCAUGGAUAGCAAUGAUAACUUCAGAACUAAUACAUGACAGCCUUCUGGCGUAUAUAUUAGUACAAACCAACAGUAUGGUGAUUCAUAAUAUCUUGUCGAACCGAUCUUCGGUGUGUAUUCAAAUUUCUGCCCUAUCAGCACAGCCGAUGGUAGGAUCGUGGCCAUGGUAACAACGGGUAACGGGGAAUCAGGUUCUAUUCGGAGAGGGAGCCUGAGAGCGGCUACCAUCAAGGAAGGCAGCAGGCGCGCAAAUUACCCAAUCCUGACACGGGGAGGUGGUGGCAAUAUAUAACGAUCCCGGGGAACUCUUUGGUUUCAGGUGGAAUGGUACAAUUUAAACACCUUAACGAGGAACAAUUGGAGAACAGAAUCUGGUGCCAGCAGCGCAGUAUUUCAACUCCAAUAGCGUAUAUUAGUAUUUGUUGCGGUUAAAAAGCUCUUAGUUGAAAUUGGGCGGGCUAUUGGUUUAAACCGCUUCAGGAAGAGGAGAACUUCUUCCAGUUACUUUGAAAAAUUAGAGUGUUCAACGCGGUUUCGCCUGAAUAUAUUAGCAUGGAAUGUAUAACGACGAGGGUCCAUUUUGUUGUACGAAACCACGUAAUGAUUAAUAAAGGGACAGUCAGGGGGCAUCGGUAUUGUGUUAUCGAAAUUGAAAUUCUUGGAUUUACACAAGACUAACUUCUGAAGGCAUUCGCCAGGAUGUAUUCAUUAAUCAGAACGAAAGUUAGGGGAUCAAAAGAUGAUCAGAUACCGUCGUAGUCUUAACCGUAAACUAUGCCGACGAGAAUGGGUACCGCUUAUACGGUAUCCGCGCUCUACAAUCAAAGUGAUCGGAGUUCUGAAGGAGUAUGGUCGCAAGGCUGGGGAAACUUAAAGGAAUUGACGGAAGGGCACCACCAGGAGUGGAGCCUGCAGCUUAAUUGACUCAACACGGAAACUCACCGGUCGAACACAAUAAGGAUUGACAGAUUGAUAGCUCUUCUUGAUUUUGUGGGUGAGUGGUGUAACCGUUCUUAGUUGGUGGAGUGAUUUGUCUGUAAUUGCGAUAACGAACAGACCUUGACCUACUAAAUAGCUCUACUUGCGAUUGCAGGUAGCUGAAAGCUUCUGAAGGACUAUCUAUUACAAGUAGAUGGAAGUUCGAGGCAAUAACAGGUCUGUGAUGCCCUUAGACGUUCCUGGAGCCGCACGCAUACACUGACGGGAGCCAGCGAGUCGACCAAGCCCGGGGCUAGGUAAUCUUAAUGAAACUCCGUCGUGCUGGGAUGGAAGCAUUGCAAUUAUUGCUCUUCGAGGAAUUCUAGUAAGCGCAGAGUCAUCAGCUUGCGUUGAUUACGUCCCUGCCGCUGUACACACUUAACCAUCGCUACUACCGAUUGAGAUGGUUUAGUGAGACCUUGGGAGGGCGGAUGGGGGCAGCCUUUGAACAUCGAAACUUGGUCCAGAACUUGAUUAUUUGGGAAGUAAAAGUCGUAACAAAGGUUUCCGUAGGUGAACCUGCGGAAGGAUCGUAU